rnacentral:rRNA from 1 species
UACAGAGGGGGCAAGCGUUGUUCGGAAUUACUGGGCGUAAAGGGCGCGUAGGCGGCCUUCUAAGUCGAACGUGAAAUCCCCGGGCUCAACCCGGGAACUGCGUCCGAUACUGGAAGGCUUGAAUCCGGGAGAGGGGUGCGGAAUUCCAGGUGUAGCGGUGAAAUGCUUAGAUAUGACAUAGAACACCAAUUGCGCAGGCAGCUUACUACACAGUAAUUGACACUGAGGCACGAAAGCGUGGGGAUCAAACAGG